UGGGGAAUUUUGGACAAUGGGGGAAACCCUGAUCCAGCCAUCCCGCGUGUGCGAUGAAGGCCUUCGGGUUGUAAAGCACUUUUUGCAGGAAAGAAACGUCAUGGGUUAAUACCCCGUGAAACUGACGGUACCUGCAGAAUAAGCACCGGCUAACUACGUGCCAGCAGCCGCGGUAAUACGUAGGGUGCAAGCGUUAAUCGGAAUUACUGGGCGUAAAGCGUGCGCAGGCGGUUCGGAAAGAAAGAUGUGAAAUCCCAGAGCUCAACUUUGGAACUGCAUUUUUAACUACCGGGCUAGAGUGUGUCAGAGGGAGGUGGAAUUCCGCGUGUAGCAGUGAAAUGCGUAGGUAUGCGGAGGAACACCGAUGGCGAAGGCAGCCUCCUGGGAUAACACUGACGCUCAUGCACGAAAGCGUGGGGAGCAAACAGG
rnacentral:rRNA from 1 species